UCAAAUGCUAUAUAAAAUCUAUUUAUCAUUUUUUCUUCGAACUCAUGAACAUUCAAAGGUCCAUAUUAGUUGCACGAGAAUAGGAUGCUCAGCACGGUUUGAUUAUGGUAUAUUAGUAAGAUUCAAAGUUAUGUAUUGAACUCGUGAUGAAGAUACACUUUGCAUGCAGCCCCAGGUGGAAGGAAGAAUAUAGACUUGUAGAGUAUAGACUAGCACGUUGCUACAUGUAUGGAUCCCAUGCGUUGACUUUGACAAAACUUUGUUGAAUUAUUCUAUAUCUCUUGAUCUUGAAGAGCCUAUUGGUCCCCAAAUUCACUGAAAUGCUGUUACUAUUUUAUUAAUUGUA
rnacentral:lncRNA from 1 species